AGCAGCCGCGGUAAUUCCAGCUCCAAUAGCGUAUAUUAAAGUUGUUGCAGUUAAAAAGCUCGUAGUUGAAUUUCGGGAUUUGUCGGUUGGUCGGGCUUCACUGUCCGCACUGGCCUGACGGAUUCCUACCUUCUGAAUAACCAGCAUGCUAUUAAUUUAGUGCGUUGGGGAAGCAGAGCUAUUACCUUGAAAAAAUUAGAGUGCUUAAAGCAGGCUUGUGCUUGAAUAGAUUAGCAUGGAAUAAUAAAAUAGGACGGCUUGGUUCUAUUUUGUUGGUUUCUAGGAUCACCGUAAUGAUUAAUAGGGAUAGUUGGGGGCAUUAGUAUUCAAUUGUCAGAGGUGAAAUUCUUGGAUUUAUUGAAGACUAACUUCUGCGAAAGCAUUUGCCAAGGAUGUUUUCAUUAAUCAAGAACGAAAGUUAGGGGAUCGAAGACGAUCAGAUACCGUCGUAGUCUUAACCAUAAACUAUGCCGACUAGGGAUCGGACGAUGUUAAUUUUUUAAUGACUCG
rnacentral:rRNA from 1 species